AUUGAACGCUGGCGGCAGGCCUAACACAUGCAAGUCGAGCGGAGGAAGGGAGCUUGCUCCUGGAUUCAGCGGCGGACGGGUGAGUAAUGCCUAGGAAUCUGCCUGGUAGUGGGGGAUAACGUCCGGAAACGGGCGCUAAUACCGCAUACGUCCUGAGGGAGAAAGUGGGGGAUCUUCGGACCUCACGCUAUCAGAUGAGCCUAGGUCGGAUUAGCUAGUUGGUGGGGUAAAGGCUUACCAAGGCGACGAUCCGUAACUGGUCUGAGAGGAUGAUCAGUCACACUGGAACUGAGACACGGUCCAGACUCCUACGGGAGGCAGCAGUGGGGAAUAUUGGACAAUGGGCGAAAGCCUGAUCCAGCCAUGCCGCGUGUGUGAAGAAGGUCUUCGGAUUGUAAAGCACUUUAAGUUGGGAGGAAGGGCAGUAAGUUAAUACCUUGCUGUUUUGACGUUACCAACAGAAUAAGCACCGGCUAACUUCGUG
rnacentral:rRNA from 1 species